CUACGUGCCAGCAGCCGCGGUAAUACGUAGGUGGCAAGCGUUGUCCGGAAUUAUUGGGCGUAAAGCGCGCGCAGGCGGAUCUGUCAGUCUGUCUUAAAAGUUCGGGGCUCAACCCCGUGAUGGGAUGGAAACUGCCAAUCUAGAGUAUCGGAGAGGAAAGUGGAAUUCCUAGUGUAGCGGUGAAAUGCGUAGAUAUUAGGAAGAACACCAGUGGCGAAGGCGACUUUCUGGACGAAAACUGACGCUGAGGCGCGAAAGCCAGGGGAGCGAACGGGAUUAGAUACCCCGGUAGUCCUGGCCGUAAACGAUGGGUACUAGGUGUAGGAGGUAUCGACCCCUUCUGUGCCGGAGUUAACGCAAUAAGUACCCCGCCUGGGGAGUACGACCGCAAGGUUGAAACUCAAAGGAAUUGACGGGGGCCCGCACAAGCGGUGGAGUAUGUGGUUUAAUUCGACGCAACGCGAAGAACCUUACCAGGUCUUGACAU
rnacentral:rRNA from 1 species